rnacentral:sRNA from 1 species
UGGUAGAUGCACCCUGAUUUAUCGCCUCCGUUCAUGCCUAGUGAAUGGAGGUUUUUUAU